UAUGAAUACAUUGUUAGCAGCCAAAGCUGGCUGCAUUUCACCUUGACUGAGUUCUGUUAGAACUUGCCACACAGAGCAGCCUGUGAUUUGAAGGAAAUCUGAAUAUAAUAUUCUGUUCCAAAAUUAAAGGAGUUAGGGAAGUGUGUGUGUGUGUGUGUGUGUGUGUGUGUGUGUGUGUGUGUGUGUAUACUUUACAAAGCUUUGGGGAACUGUUUUAUCUAACAUGUCUUCUUCAAAAAGGAACACAAAAAUAAUACCUACAUCCAUCAUAAUUAACUCUGUGAUCCAACUUUUGAGAUCUAAUAAUCAGUUAUUAACUGAUCAGGUUUUCACAAUUAAAUGAUGAAACUUUAUUCUGUAGGUUUUUAAACCUUUUUUUUCUUUGCCCAUGACAUAACUAUGUGCGUGUGUGUCAUGAACAAAACCAUUGUGUGUAUACAUGUUGUGUGUGUGUAUAUACACAUAUACAUAGAAUGGUUUUUCAUUAUAUGUAAGUAUAUGUUUUAGGGAAUAAACUUUUGAGAACAUAUAAAUUUAAAAUCAUUGCACUUAUUUUAAAAUAUUUAACUUGAUUAUGUUAUCAUCUAUAAAAUAAAAUAAUAAUAUAUUACAUUUAUCCCUCAAAAUAGCCAUAACAAAAGUACAGAUAAUUUAUAAACAUAAUGGUUAUGUAAAAUAUGUAACAUGCUUUAAUUUUUUAGAAGUUUUCUAUCAAAACAUAAUUUUAUUCCAAAUGUGUUUAAUAAAUCAUUGGACAUUAUCAGGGAAGAAAAUUUUAAAUUUGAAAUGCACUUGUCUUUUGAUAAUAUGGUAAAUGUGUGAGAUAUGACAAUAAUCAUAAUCACUGAAAUAUAAACAACACUGGGCAUAGAUUUCCUCAUCUGUAAAAUAGAUGAAUCAAAUAAUAUCUAAAAUCAUUUAUAUCUCUAAGACUUUGAGUCAACAAAUUAUGUAACAAUUAGAAAUAGAUAAGACACUACAAUAAUUAUUCAAUUCUUGGUAAAUUUGAGAUCAGAGGCACUGAAAACUUGGUAAAUUCCUUCAAUACAGGAACAAAAUGAGAUGCUCAUACUUUCUAUUGACUAAUAAAGGAGGACAAGGCAACAUUAGUUAAAGGGAUACCAUGUUUCCGAAGCAGUAUGCUCCUGUUGACAUUUUUAUUACCUGGAUCCAUGGAAGAAACUUAGUCCACAAUCUUUUAUUUUAAGAUCAAUAGGAUCAAGGUGAAAAAAAAAUACAUAUAAAAAUAGGUCACAUACUAAUCCCUGUUGGUUUAUAUUUAAAAGACCUGCAAGAAACUGAGUUAUACCCAUUUGGUCAUUGAGAAAGAGAAAUAACCAGAGAGUUAAAUUGCCAGGUUAUAGAAUAUUGUGUUUCCAGUUACAGUUUGGUUAGCUUUGCUUCAGGAGGCUGCUGAGAUGUACUUCAUUUUGAGCUAUUUCCUUCAGCCUGUGAGAGGAGAAGUCAAUGUUGCAGAUUAUGACUGGCUCCACUAAGAAGAGUUGUUUAAUCAAAAUACUGCUGUAGAUAUUUCCAGAUGAAAGCUUUACUGAAUUUUGCUAUCGAGGCAGCACAUUGCUUAGGAACCUCUAAGAAAGAAGUAGAAAACACUGGGAUUAGACCCAGACACAUGAAAUUCCAGUCCUGGUUCUGACGCUCUCUAGUGUGACCCUGACAAAACUUUUUAGGUCUUGGUGUUCUCAUCUUAAAAUUCAGAAGAGAAUAAAAAAAUAGAUUUUAGUAUCUGAACGAUCCUUGUCUAUGUCUUCUCAUCCUCCAUGCUUUAUAUAAUAUCUGACCCCUGGAAAGAGAUUAAUAUAACUUUUGAACUUCAGUUAUGAAAAACUAAAACUUUUCCCAAUAAGCGUGCAAAAGCAUUAAUACUGUUUUCAAAGAUUUGUUUGUUUCAUUUGUCCAACACUAGUAAAGUCUAGCGCAUAAAAAAAAACCCUAUGCUUUGAACUUAUGUCUUAAGACUCUUAUACCAAUGCUCUUUCUCCUCAACAUCAAGUGCUAUACUAAAUGGGAAGGCUAAUAGAAGUUAUAAUAUUUAUAUUUAAAUGAUUGGUCAGGCCAUGGUUAUAGUCCAUGAAGACUCUAGGAUAAUUUUUAUCAGUAUUAUCUACAAGACUUAUUUAGAGGUAAUAGGCAAAUUGCACCCCACUUAAGAGUUGUCAUUUUCUAAACUCCAGAUGAAAUAAAUGGCAUUGAGGACUUCCAUGGAGGCAUGGAGGCACAAGACAAAAUAUAGGUAAUGCCAACUCUCAAGUACACACUGAAAUAUGAUGAAAAAUAUUUAAGAAAAUGCAGCAGAGCAAAAUGAAAAUGUUUCAAUAAUCAAUGUAGCGAUUCUUAGGCAAUAUGGUAUUAAUCAACACAUUAAUUCCAUCUUAUGUAUUUCAUAUAUAUAUAUAAAGUAAUCUUUUCCCAUAACAGAUUGAAGACACUUGCAAGCAUUUAAUAGUGAGCAAGCUUGUUUUUUGAACUAGAAUGCUGUACCAGUUAUGUUGAGGAGCUAAGGAAAAAAUGGGAUGUGUCCUACUCUCUAGUUGUUUAAAUCACGGAUGGACUAGCACAUAGAGAUUCAAGCACCAAAUUCUCGGUAGUUAGCAACUAACGCUACAAACACAGAGUCUAGAUAUAACCACGCAGAUACUGUCAAUAGUGGUUUCUAUAGAACUGGGGAAUAAUGUAUAAUUGAAGAAUGACAUAUAUAAUGACAGUCAUAGUUGUCUAUUUCAGAGUCUUACACGCAGGCUUGUGCCUACAUUUGGGGUCCCACGUAAGGCUCCCAAGUGCCAUGGUCCCACAGUAAUGAAUACCAAUUACCAUGUGAAAUGCACUUUGACUCAUACCAGGGGAAGCUAACUCAAAAUCUCUGGAAUACUGUUUAUAUUCUUUUACUAAGGUAGCCAAAUGAAUAAAAAAAUGUCGUUUGACAAAUUUAGCUCUCUACCGGCUUAACUGACCACUUAUUUUGAAUUUGUGUAGUUACAGCCUUGGAGCAUAGUUCUGCCAUAAGAAUAAACAGGACAAAACAAAACACUUUUACAUAAAACCUAUUACAGACAGACUACCUCUAGUGAGAAUGCAAGAAAGAUCUUUAAAAAUGAUUUCCAUGAUUGUGUUGUGAGUUAAUAGGUUUCAGGUAUUAUGUUGUAAGUUAAUAAUUCCUAUGUUCACAAUUGUCUGCAAGCCAUCACUUAUACUCGGAGAUAAUUUAUGCAGUCAACAAAAUUAUGCAUACCAUGCUUUAUUAAAAAUGUACCAACAAUUUGAGAAGAAACACAUAAUUUUUAUAAUCUUUACAUCAAAAAAUUCUACUAAGGAAAUAAGUUGACCUGACCUUUUAUUAUUUUACCUUGCAAUUGCUUAGCAGAUUUAAAGUUAUUUCAUUGCUAAAUGAAUUGCAUUUAGUAAAAGGAACGAGAUCCAAUGACUAGGCCAUUAAGAGUGAAUAUGCUGUUUUUUAUUAUUAAACCAAACAGCUGAUUUUUAGUUCUAAUUGUACACAUAACUUACCAUCUUCAAGGACAUUAUAAUGUUAUUGUUAAAAUAUCUCCCAUGACUACAAAUUUGAACAAGAGCAGAAAACUCUGAAUUUUAAAUGAGUAACAUUACAUCCAUAUAUACAUAAAUAAAACUAUUUUGUUAAUCUAUAGAUAGUAUUUCUUCUAGUAUUUUAUAAUGUGUUUCCCCAAGAGAGUCAAAUAACAAAUCAAAAGCAAUUGGCUAAAAGUCUGCCUAUUCUUUUCAUUAUUCUUAUUCAUUAUUCUUAUUAAGUAUUCUUGGAUUUGGAUCUCUCAAGAAAAUCAAUAUUUUUUAUAGAUAUUCAUGAUUGUUUGAGCCUCUCCUCUUCCAAAAGGAAGAAUCCUUGCUAGAAUAAAGAGCUGACACUGGCAAAUGAGCUAUGACAUAGACUAAUUCAAAAUGAACAUUUCAAUAUAACAAAAUUAUAAAUUCUCACUUAAAUGAGGGUACAAAAUGACCUUUCCAAGAAUGAACACCAUUAAUUAUGGUGACAUUAUGCCUCAGUUUGCUAGGUUAGUCCCAGUUCAUAUUUCCACACUCAAAACUGUCAUGAUUUGAAUGUAAAAGUAUAUAUAUGAUCACCUUAGCCAUACUUACGCAUAGUGCACUGACAAGUGGUAGCAUAAAUAUUGAGAGGAAUUCCUUUGCAAACUUGAGUCUCCUUUCCCAGAAGAGUUUAAAAUAGUUCUUCCUAUUUCUAGGAUAGUUUUAGUUGGCAUUGAAAAAGAUGCCCUUUUCGUCUCUAGAUAUGUAUUUAUUGUGAAUUUUUGCUGAAUUGCUUAUUUGCAGAAUGUCAAUCUUGAUUACAAAAAUAAACUGUUUAUUUAAUUUUAAGCUUAUGUGUGUUGACAUAAGUAGCAUAAGAUUAAAUGACCAUGUCUUAAGUUCUAAAGAUGCCAAAUAGUAUGAAUGUUCUCCCACUACAGACUUUUUUAUUCAGCUAUUGUCAUACUUAUAUAACUGGUAAAGUUACUAGUAAUUUAUAUGUUUCUCUUCAAUAAUUUACUCAUGUUUAACAUCACUCUGUUGUAUACAGUGAAAGUUUUUAAACAUAAAGGAAGUGGAAUUAUAUACAGUACAUAUAUUAAAGAGUACUACAACGUAUUUGCCUAAAAAUUGUCAAUACCUUUGAGAAACCAGCAGAUAUUUUACACUUAGCUUUGAGGAGUGAGGUAUCUACAGUCUCAUCCUGCCAUCUAGUGUUAAGCAGUCUCACAUUGUAAAAAGCUGCUUUCUAACGGAAUAAUGAAAUUCUUUUUUUCUCUGACAAAAAUCCCAACAACUAGGAAAGAUCACUAAGAAAAUAUUCUGAAGCACUUAACUAGAUUUACAGUGGGCAGAUAUUUACUGUAGACUAUACAAUUAAAGUAUCAACUUAUAUAUAGUGGAAAAAAGUACAUCAUAAAAUAUUUAGAUACAAAGACAAAACAAUAAAUAUAUGUUAAAACAUAAUAUAAGUAAAAAAUGCAAAUUAAAAAGACAUACUAUCUUUUGUCUUCCAAUGAAUGUAUAUAUCAGGUGCAUAUAUAAUAUAUUUAAAUAUUGAUUUAAAUAUACACAAUGCUGAAGCCCAUGGCUAGGCUAGAGGGGAUUAACUCCUAUGUAUCUGACCAGGAAUACAAAUCAGAUCUUCAAAAGCUCACAACAGAGUGACAGUGUCUCUGACAUCUGACAAAUGAAGCCCUCACCAUAUCCAAGCAUGAAAGAUAUACAUUCCACCACUGUAUGUUAGAAAAAAAUCAAUUGCUAAUUGGCUAUAAUCCUGUUCUGGCUUAAUACAACUGACACUUGAGAGAGACAUUAUUUGGGGGCAUAAUUAUUACCUCCAAGCUCUAUCUCUAUAAACAUUUGUAUCAUAAGAAAGCAAGUUUCUGAACAAUAACCAUCCAUAAAACACAUAUUAAUUGAUCAUCUACCAUAUGCCAACAUUUGGAUAGAUACCAGAAGUACAAAAAUUGGUAAUAGAGACAUGAUCCUUGAUCUGAAAGAAUUUACUUUCUAUCCUCAGGUAGACAUUUAGAAAAAUAUACUUAUUUUUGCUUAUAUUGCUUAAACAUUCAGAUUCUAAAAAGCACUAUGUUCAAUGACUAAAACAGGUGAGCACUGAAGGGAGGAUGGAGGGAGAACAUAUUUCCUAUAGAAAAGCACUUUCUCUGAAGAUAAUAAUUACUCUGGAACCUAGAAGGGGAGAAAUAUGAAGCAUUCUAUAGAUUAGAAAGAAGUCUGAAGUAGGGCUUCCCAGAUGAGAGCUUGAGAGGAUUCAGAUGCCACAGUAAUUGCUGGAGGAAUGCUCUUUAGACUUUAGGCAAAAGCAGUAAGGGAAGGAAGCAGAUUUGGGGAAAAAAACAAACAAACAUGAGGUGAGCAAACACGUGGUCUCAAGUAAACUCUGGAUUUGGCCUAAACAAUAGGGAUAGGGCUCUGGAAUGUAAUCUGAAUGACAAGUUGGCCUCCCUUGAUGCAAGGGAAUCCCUCUUUAGCAGGUCCUUGUUAGUCAUUGUAUGAGCCACUCUGGGAGUGGGAGUGCGAGUAGUGCUUUCAAGGGAAAGAACUACCAUCAGCUGAGGACAGUUUGGAGAAGGAUGCAGCUGAGGGCUAUUAGCAGCUAAUUCUCCCAACAACUGGGAGAUGAGUUACCGGCUCAGUAAAAGAAUGUGGGAGGGGGCACCAAAACAGAGUUUGCUUGAAGACUAUUGCAAGUAAACAAAACCUGUCCAGGUGGUGCACCUAGAGUCUGGAGACCAGUGAGCAAGAAGGGAGUCCCACACGAAUACAUCAGGACAUAAGUUGUAGGACCUUGUAGACUGUGAUGUAGUCAAUUUGGAAAUGGCGAGCUGCAUCAACAUAGGUCAGCGUUGAAGAAAUACAGGGGACCACUGAGAAUGGACCACCUUAUGCUAGAAGAGAUGUGGUUAUUACCAAGAGAAGAGCCAGAAUGUCCUAAUUUUUCUGAAAAAGUACAACAGAAAUAACACAGGCUGAAGAAACCAUGACAAGUUAUUCAAGAUUAUCAAACAGGUACAUAAAGUUUAUAAACACACCAAUGAAACAGGUUUUAUCAACUAUUAAAGUUUAAUAGUUGAUUACUGAUUAUUAAAGGAAAAUGUAGAAUAGUUUUCUAGACUCUUGUUAUGGAUUUGUUUAAAAAUAUACCAGUUGAUCAAUGUGGAACUGAGUAGCAAUUGUAAGGUAACAAGUGUGUUGACAUUAGAAAUUAAAUAGAGACAUCUUUUUAAAUUCAACAGUUUUUUAAGGGCAGACAUUAAUGUCAACUCUUUGAUUUGCUCUCUCUAAUCCACAGUUGUGCCAUUUUUUACACAUAACUUGUUACAAACAAUAGUAUAUCUAUUCUCAUAUAUAUUAGUACUAUAUCAUACCAUGUUAAAUCAUUUCCCUAAUUAUGAAAGUAUAGGUGUUUGAUAUUACAAGUACAUAUAUAUCAUGGUCCAUUCUUUUACUUACCAUGGUUGGUAAUGGUAUUUUAGCAAUGUUGAAAAAGUUAUACGACACUGUCUAUGUUUUAAAAUAGAAUGAGGCAAUUAUUUUGAUCUUGAGUUAGAAUUUUUUUCCCUCAUUAUUCCGUCACUUAUUUUAGUCACAGAAGAAUUUCAUAUCUUGUGAAGGGAGUUGUACAUACAGAAAACUCAAUUUUUUUCAUUUUAAUUUUUUUUAAUUUAAUUUUUUUAUUUUUUAAAAUUUACAUCCAAAUUAGCAUAUGGUGAAACAAUGAUUUCAGGAGUAGAAUUUUUUUAAUUUUAUUAAGUCCAACAAUAGAGGCCUAAUUUUAAAGAAGUUGCAUUUGCUUAUAGAUUUAUCGGUAUGAUAGACAUGGACAAUUGUGGCUGGUACCACCAAAAUAAUAAAGACCAAAUAAUGCCAUUUCAUACUUCUGGAGGAUUGUCUAUAAUAUAUUUUCUAAGACUUUAAGUAUUCACUCUGGUCACUUCUGAGGGAUAUUGAAACCUCAAAAUUGGGGCGCCUGGGUGGCGCAGUCGGUUAGGCGUCCGACUUCGGCCAGGUCACGAUCUCGCGGUCCGUGAGUUCGAGC